rnacentral:rRNA from 1 species
CAAUAGCGUAUAUUAAAUUUGUUGCAGUUAAAAAGCUCGUAGUUGAGACGUCACGGUAUCAGUGUUGCUCUUCUCAGAGCUCUCUGCUGCCGCGAACCUUAACAGGUUUCUGUUCCUUUGAGGAAAAUUGAGUGUUUCAGGCGGGCAAGAGCUGGAAUGGUGUACCAUGGAAUAGCGAAGUGGCUGCCUCUCUUUUACUUUGGUUCUGGGCGAGGCGGUGCGUGGUUGGUAGGAAUGGUCGGGGCAUUCGUAUUGAACAGUCAAAGGUGAAAUUCUUAGAUUUGUUCAAGACGAACUAGUGCGAAAGCAUCUGCCAAGGAUGUUUCCAUUAA